rnacentral:rRNA from 1 species
UGGGGAAUAUUGGACAAUGGGCGGAAGCCUGAUCCAGCCAUGCCGCGUGUGUGAAGAAGGCCUUUUGGUUGUAAAGCACUUUAAGCGAGGAGGAGGCUCUUCUAGUUAAUACCUAGGAUGAGUGGACGUUACUCGCAGAAUAAGCACCGGCUAACUCUGUGCCAGCAGCCGCGGUAAUACAGAGGGUGCGAGCGUUAAUCGGAUUUACUGGGCGUAAAGCGUGCGUAGGCGGCUGAUUAAGUUGAAUGUGAAAGCCCCGGGCUCAACCUGGGAACUGCAUCCAAAACUGGCGAGCUAGAGUAGGGCAGAGGGUGGUGGAAUUUCCUGUGUAGCGGUGAAAUGCGUAGAUAUAGGAAGGAACACCAGUGGCGAAGGCGACCACCUGGGCUCAUACUGACACUGAGGUGCGAAAGCGUGGGGAGCAAACAGG